rfam:Candidatus Firestonebacteria bacterium RIFOXYA2_FTLL_40_8 rifoxya2_full_scaffold_3452, whole genome shotgun sequence.
AAAUCCCUGCUCUAUUCGCGCAGGCCUGAAAAUUUUUGAUCCAAUACCUUUUUGUCGGGAGUCCGCGUUCUUGCACGGUGCGCAUACCCGCAAGGGCAGCCUAACUGUAAGACAGGGCGCCCACUUGACAGAACAGGUUCAAAAACCGGGCUUAACGGUAGAGUGGGGAUUUC